UACAGAGGGUGCAAGCGUUAAUCGGAUUUACUGGGCGUAAAGGGCGCGUAGGUGGUUGUGUAAGUGAGAUGUGAAAUCCCCGGGCUUAACCUGGGAACUGCGUCUUAUACUGCAUAGCUCGAGUACAUGAGAGGGUAGUGGAAUUUCCGGUGUAGCGGUGAAAUGCGUAGAUAUCGGAAGGAACACCAGUGGCGAAGGCGGCUACCUGGCAUGAUACUGACACUGAGGCGCGAGAGCGUGGGGAGCAAACAG
rnacentral:rRNA from 1 species